rnacentral:lncRNA from 1 species
GAACAUUACUUUGGAAUGAGUGUUUCCACAGCACAGGAGCCCAGCAUGGGUUGCAUGAUCAAGCUGACUUGAGGGUUCUGAACAGAAGCUGACCAGUCUACUGCACAUUGUAAAGAAGUUAAAAAGCUGGAUUGAAUUGCAAAAUGUACUACUCAAGGAGUCCAAAGAAUAAAAUAUGAGCAGCUUGUGGGGGUAAAGCAUUCGUAGGUAUAGUAUAGAAAAGGUCCAUGAGCAUCAUGUCAGUGUCUUUUAACUUUCCAUUGCAGUGGAAUAAUCCUUUAUGCGUUUAUGAAAAUCUUUGGAAAAGAAGCCACGUCACUGGGUGGUUCCUACUUAUUUUCCUCUCCAGGGGCCUUUGCUGCUCUUGCUGGGUGCCUCAGUUGCUAGCUUUGUGAGUAGUAAUGCCCCACUGUUCCCAGCUCCUUGCUUGCUGGGUGUGAGGACAGAGGCUAUCAUAGCAAUAAUUGCUGGAUGUUCUGUGUUUGCACAUCUGUGGUGGCCUUCUGAAUUGAGUUUCGUGCCAGAGCCAGGCAGCGCCUCCCUACCCCACCCUCCCACUGCCCCUUUAUUUUCUGUGUCACACCAUUAAAAGAAAUGAGAUUAUGGCACAAAUCAUCAUUCAUAUGACUCUAGCAUAGAAGGUUAGCGAGAUAUUGCAGAGAUAAUUCCAUAGCCACCAUGGCCCCUGACAAUAAUUACAAUGUGGCCACAGGGGAUUACCUUCUAAUAGGCUUUUGUUCACUCAAUUCAGAGUCUGUUGUGUGCUAGAGUUUGGAUAAUUAAAGUUGUGUCUCAGAAGCCACAUGUGGUAGCUCAUAAUUAUGUAGUCGAGUCUAACAGAAAACUGAGGUGACUGACACCCGGCCAGAGUGAAGAACAGGGGUCCUUGGUGACAACGAAGAA